rnacentral:rRNA from 1 species
UACGAAGGGGGCGAGCGUUGUUCGGAUUUACUGGGCGUAAAGGGCGCGCAGGCGGUUCUGUUUGUCGAGUGUGAAAGCCCCGGGCUCAACCUGGGAACUGCGCUCGAAACGGCAGAACUAGAGUUCGGGAGAGGAGAGUGGAAUUCCUGGUGUAGCGGUGAAAUGCGCAGAUAUCAGGAGGAACACCGGUGGCGAAGGCGGGUCUCUGGGCCGAUACUGACGCUGAGGAGCGAAAGCGUGGGGAGCGAACAGG